GUUCAUCUAAAUCUAAACAGGUGAGUUUGGCCAUCACCUGGACAAGGAGGCUCUGAUUUCUCAGCUCACCAGAGGCAAACAAGCUUUCACUUGCAAACUGAUGAGCUUAAGAGACAGAUUGAAGAGGAGGUGAAGGCUAAAAACGCACUGGCCCACGCUGUGCAAUCAGCCCGUCAUGACUGUGACCUGCUCCGUGAGCAGUUUGAGGAAGAGCAGGAGGCAAAGGCUGAGCUGCAGCGGGGAAUGUCAAAGGCCAACAGUGAAGUUGCUCAGUGGAGAACCAAAUAUGAAACUGAUGCCAUCCAGCGCACUGAGGAGCUUGAA